rnacentral:rRNA from 1 species
UUUAUGGGGUGACUGCGUACCUUUUGUAUAAUGGGUCAGCGACUUAUAUUCUGUAGCAAGGUUAACCGAAUAGGGGAGCCGAAGGGAAACCGAGUCUUAACUGGGCGUUAAGUUGCAGGGUAUAGACCCGAAACCCGGUGAUCUAGCCAUGGGCAGGUUGAAGGUUGGGUAACACUAACUGGAGGACCGAACCGACUAAUGUUGAAAAAUUAGCGGAUGACUUGUGGCUGGGGGUGAAAGGCCAAUCAAACCGGGAGAUAGCUGGUUCUCCCCGAAAGCUAUUUAGGUAGCGCCUCGUGAAUUCAUCUCCGGGGGUAGAGCACUGUUUCGGCAAGGGGGUCAUCCCGACUUACCAACCCGAUGCAAACUGCGAAUACCGGAGAAUGUUAUCACGGGAGACACACGGCGGGUGCUAACGUCCGUCGUGAAGAGGGAAACAACCCAGACCGCCAGCUAAGGUCCCAAAGUCAUGGUUAAGUGGGAAACGAUGUGGGAAGGCCCAGACAGCCAGGAUGUUGGCUUAGAAGCAGCCAUCAUUUAAAGAAAGCGUAAUAGCUCACUGGUCGAGUCGGCCUGCGCGGAAGAUGUAACGGGGCUAAACCAUGCACCGAAGCUGCGGCAGCGACACUNGAAGGUGUACUGUGAGGUAUGCUGGAGGUAUCAGAAGUGCGAAUGCUGACAUAAGUAACGAUAAAGCGGGUGAAAAGCCCGCUCGCCGGAAGACCAAGGGUUCCUGUCCAACGUUAAUCGGGGCAGGGUGAGUCGACCCCUAAGGCGAGGCCGAAAGGCGUAGUCGAUGGGAAACAGGUUAAUAUUCCUGUACUUGGUGUUACUGCGAAGGGGGGACGGAGAAGGCUAUGUUGGCCGGGCGACGGUUGUCCCGGUUUAAGCGUGUAGGCUGGUUUUCCAGGCAAAUCCGGAAAAUCAAGGCUGAGGCGUGAUGACGAGGCACUACGGUGCUGAAGCAACAAAUGCCCUGCUUCCAGGAAAAGCCUCUAAGCAUCAGGUAACAUCAAAUCGUACCCCAAACCGACACAGGUGGUCAGGUAGAGAAUACCAAGGCGCUUGAGAGAACUCGGGUGAAGGAACUAGGCAAAAUGGUGCCGUAACUUCGGGAGAAGGCACGCUGAUAUGUAGGUGAAGCGACUUGCUCGUGGAGCUGAAAUCAGUCGAAGAUACCAGCUGGCUGCAACUGUUUAUUAAAAACACAGCACUGUGCAAACACGAAAGUGGACGUAUACGGUGUGACGCCUGCCCGGUGCCGGAAGGUUAAUUGAUGGGGUUAGCGGUAACGCGAAGCUCUUGAUCGAAGCCCCGGUAAACGGCGGCCGUAACUAUAACGGUCCUAAGGUAGCGAAAUUCCUUGUCGGGUAAGUUCCGACCUGCACGAAUGGCGUAAUGAUGGCCAGGCUGUCUCCACCCGAGACUCAGUGAAAUUGAACUCGCUGUGAAGAUGCAGUGUACCCGCGGCAAGACGGAAAGACCCCGUGAACCUUUACUAUAGCUUGACACUGAACAUUGAGCCUUGAUGUGUAGGAUAGGUGGGAGGCUUUGAAGUGUGGACGCCAGUCUGCAUGGAGCCGGCCUUGAAAUACCACCCUUUAAUGUUUGAUGUUCUAACGUUGGCCCCUGACCGGGGUUGCGGACAGUGUCUGGUGGGUAGUUUGACUGGGGCGGUCUCCUCCUAAAGAGUAACGGAGGAGCACGAAGGUUGGCUAAUCCUGGUCGGACAUCAGGAGGUUAGUGCAAUGGCAUAAGCCAGCUUGACUGCGAGCGUGACGGCGCGAGCAGGUGCGAAAGCAGGUCAUAGUGAUCCGGUGGUUCUGAAUGGAAGGGCCAUCGCUCAACGGAUAAAAGGUACUCCGGGGAUAACAGGCUGAUACCGCCCAAGAGUUCAUAUCGACGGCGGUGUUUGGCACCUCGAUGUCGGCUCAUCACAUCCUGGGGCUGAAGUAGGUCCCAAGGGUAUGGCUGUUCGCCAUUUAAAGUGGUACGCGAGCUGGGUUUAGAACGUCGUGAGACAGUUCGGUCCCUAUCUGCCGUGGGCGCUGGAGAACUGAGGGGGGCUGCUCCUAGUACGAGAGGACCGGAGUGGACGCAUCACUGGUGUUCGGGUUGUCAUGCCAAUGGCACUGCCCGGUAGCUAAAUGCGGAAGAGAUAAGUGCUGAAAGCAUCUAAGCACGAAACUUGCCCCGAGAUGAGUUCUCCCUGACUCCUUGAGAGUCCUGAAGGAACGUUGAAGACGACGACGUUGAUAGGCCGGGUGUGUAAGCGCAGCGAUGCGUUGAGCUAACCGGUACUAAUGAACCGUGAGGCUUAACCUU